AGAUUGAACGCUAGCGGGAUGCUUUACACAUGCAAGUCGAACGGCAGCGCGGACUUCGGUCUGGCGGCGAGUGGCGAACGGGUGAGUAAUAUAUCGGAACGUGCCCAGUAGCGGGGGAUAACUACGCGAAAGCGUGGCUAAUACCGCAUACGCCCUACGGGGGAAAGGGGGGAUCGCAAGACCUCUCACUAUUGGAGCGGCCGAUAUCAGAUUAGCUAGUUGGUGAGGUAAAGGCUCACCAAGGCGACGAUCUGUAGCUGGUUUGAGAGGACGACCAGCCACACUGGGACUGAGACACGGCCCAGACUCCUACGGGAGGCAGCAGUGGGGAAUUUGGACAAUGGGGGAAACCCUGAUCCAGCCAUCCCGCGUGUGCGAUGAAGGCCCGUUCGGGUUGUAAAGGCACGUUUUGGACGAGGAAGGAAACGGACGUGCCCGUAAGUACGGUACGUCACGUGACCGUACCGUAGCGAGAAGUAAGCCGACCGGCUAACUACGUCG
rnacentral:rRNA from 1 species